UUCUGGUUGAUCCUGCCGGCGGGCACCGCUAUCGGAAUACGAUUAAGGCAUGCGAGUCGAGAGGUGCAAGACCUCGGCAGACGGCUGAGUAACACGCGGGUAACCUGCCCUGGAGUGGGGGAUAAUCUCGGGAAACUGAGGAUAAUACCCCAUAGGUGUGGUAUGCUGGAAUGCUUCCACGCUGAAAACCACGGUGCUCCAGGAUGGGCCUGCGGCCUAUCAGGCUGUAGUGGGUGUAACGGACCCACUAACCUACGACGGGUAGGGGCGUUGAGAGACGGAGCCCCCAGAUGGAUUCUGAGACACGAAUCCAGGCCCUACGGGGCGCAGCAGCUACGAAAACUGCACAAUGUGGGAAACCACGAUGCGGGUAUUCCGAGUGACAACGCAUUGCGUUGUCUGUUCUUUCGCCUAAAAAGCGAGAGAAGUAAGGGCCGGGUAAGACGGGUGC
rnacentral:rRNA from 1 species